rnacentral:ribozyme from 1 species
GCUUAAAAUUCAUCCACAGGUAAAACAAUCAAGCGCUUUUCUUAAAAAAUAAUAAUUGAAACACAAAUGCUUCUUGUCAACAAACAAAACUUCAAUCGAACAAUCCGAGACAGCAGAUGGAAAAUUUGGGUCGAUUGACAGCUAAA